CAGUCGCCGCGGUAAUACGGAGGGUGCAAGCGUUAAUCGGAAUUACUGGGCGUAAAGCGCACGCAGGCGGUUUGUUAAGUCAGAUGUGAAAUCCCCGGGCUCAACCUGGGAAUGGCAGUGGAUACUGGCUCGCUAGAGUGUGUCAGAGGAUGGUGGAAUUCCCGGCGUAGCGGUGAAAUGCGUAGAGAUCGGGAGGAACAUCAGUGGCGAAGGCGGUCAUCUGGGACAACACUGACGCUGAGGCACGAAAGCGUGGGGAGCAAACAGGAUUAGAUACCCCAGUAGUCCCUGUCUCUUAUAC
rnacentral:rRNA from 1 species